rnacentral:rRNA from 1 species
CAAUAGCGUAUAUUAAAGUUGUUGCAGUUAAAAGCUCGUAGUUGGAUUUCUGUUCUCGGGGAUUGGUCCGCCUCACGGUGAGCACUGGUAUCCUGGGGACAUCCUCUCGAAGGCGGGUGGUGCACUUAAUUGUGUGCUGCUUGGAUUCGGGACCUUUACUUUGAAAAAUCAGAGUGUUUCUAGCAGGCAGCUCGCUCUUGCAUAGGUUAGCAUGGGAUAAUUUAAUAGGACUCUGGUGCUAUUUUGUUGGUUUCGAACACCGGAGUAAUGAUUAAAAGGGGCAGUCAGGGGCACUCGUAUUCCGUCGAGAGAGGUGAAAUUCUCAGACCAAUGGAAGACGAACCACUGCGAAAGCAUUUGCCAGGGAUGUUUUCACUGAUCAAGAACGAAAGUUAGGGGAUCGAAGAUGAUUAGAUACCAU